ensembl:snRNA LOC120102557 U4 spliceosomal RNA
AGCUUUACGAAGUGGCAGUAUUGUAACCAAUGAGGUUUAUCCCAGGCUCAAUUAUUGCUAAUUGGAAACUAAAAUGUACCGAUUGGUUUACGUUUUAGAAACAUGCAGUCGUG